CUCGCCGGCUCUCUGCCUCCGCCCCCACCCGCCCCUCCCUCCUGUCUCUGCCACCGCUGGCUGGGCUCGGUUGCUACCUCUCCUCGCAGAAGCAACGAGGUGAGGCUUGUGUGCGGCGCCAGCUGAGAGGAGGGGAAAACGAAGCCGUGUGCCCCAGGUGGGAAGCAGCCGGCACUUGGUUCCAGCUUGGUCUUCGAGAUUCCCUAAAACCGUGUGUAAAUAUAUCUCUUCUAAAAGCCGAAAGCAAGCAAAGCAAAUUCUCGGCUGCUGCCAGGUGUUGUCUUCCGCCGUUGCUCAGCACCCGCAGCGACUGCUGCCCCCUUGGCUCAGUUCCCAAAGGGGUGGUGCUGGAAGGGAGGUGUCAGGGUGCUGAGCCGACGGUCCGAGGACUGGAAACAAGCUUCCCCUAGCGGAGUAGGCUACCAGCUAUCUCCGCCUCCGCGGCCGCGGCCGCCUCUGCUGCAUUCAGCACCCGGCAAGUAUCAGUGUGGAUGGUACUGUUUGCAGGAUUUCUGCCCACUCUACAUUAUCACCGCUGCAGUCAACGCACACACAGACAUCCACCUCUCCCCCGGAGUCCAUUUCGAUGCUCAUAUAAACAUUUGGAGUAGCUAUCAGUCUGCAAGCUCGAAAGAGAAAGUUUUUGUGAGUUGCACGGAAGCUAAGAAUUGAUGGAGACUAAGUCCCUCAAGAAUAAGACCUCGUGGGAGAAAGGAAUGCUUCACACCUUCAAGCAGAGAGGACCAUGCUAGUACUGUUUCUGACAAUUUCUCCCUUUAGAAUUUAAACUCCCGAGGGCAGAGUAUUUUGUUGUUUGUUAAGAUGAUUGGUUUUGCUCUAUUUUGGUCCUAUCUGGCUAAAUCAAAGGCAGGUAGUGAAAUAAAUCUUUGUUAAAUGGCUUGUGGCCACCAUCACCAUAGUCAUCAUCACACCAAGUCUAGUCUUCUUACAAUUGUGAGUCAUAAGAAUCCAGAAAAAUAUUGCAUCCUUGUCUUAAGCAGUACCCCGCAUCGUCCAAGUCAUUCACUGAGCAACUGCCAAGGAGUAAUCUGAAAUGGAUUUUAAUUUCCUCUCCUAUUUCUGCUUCUGAAUCAUGUCACCUUACCUUAUCUUUCUCAAGGAGUUUAUAGUAAGCAGAAAAGUAUCCGUCAAUGCAAACGGCUAGAAAAGAAAGAAACUUAAAGUAAGCUGCAUAAAUAUUUAGUAUUCUCAGCUGUGGACUUUGAUCAUUUAAAACAUAGAAUUACUUUCUCUCUCUUUUUCUUUUCUAUUUUGGUUUUUUGAGACAGGGUCUCACUAUGUAGUUGAGACUGACCUGGAACUCACUAUGUAGCCCGGGCUGGUCUUGAACUCACAGGGAUCCUCCCGAGUGCUGGGAUUACAGGUAUGAGCCACCACGCCCAGCCUCUUACUUUUUCUCAUAAAUGCCUCACUCACUGAAUGCACACACACACACACACACACACACACAGACACUUCUAGGGUCAUAGAUUUCAAGAAGGCAUUCCAAUGAGUCAUCUAAACAGUUGUGCCAAUUCCUUUAGAAAUACUGGAGCCAUAGACAGAAUAGCUGCAAAAUCUCUGGACCAAAAUAUCACUGGGAUGAAGUUCAGCCAAUGAAUCAUAAGAAAACUACCCCUUUGCUGACAUCUCCAUGAAUGAUUCAUUCCUAUAAGCUCUAAAGAGAAAGGACCUGCAUCUUGAUCUUGAUUAACCCAGCAUGGCUAUGCAUCUGAGUCAUGCCCCAGCAUGAUUCUGAGACCCUAUGGAUUCUGAGACCCUGCCCAAGGUGAAUGGUUUGAAAAUGACACUGAUGCUUUUAAUACUCCAAAAUAAUACUUAAAUUAUUGGUAUAUGCAUGAACACUGUGCUGAAAAGGGAACUUUAUUUAAAAUCUGUAUUGUACAUCACCCUGUGUCUGCUUCUGACAUUGUGCAAAUUGCUUUCUAUAGAAAUUAUCUCAUCAUCCAUUCAUCCCUCUUCAUAUGACUCAGAGCUCCUUGAAGAACCCAUAUUUAUAUUUGUAUGAGUAGCACAGGACACAGUACCUGAAGUUCAGUGUGUGAUCAAGAAAAUGCUUCUAAAUGAAGGAAUAUUUUUUGGCCUCAGUAAAGCUAAAUAUUUCUCUUCUUCAGUCUAGACACAUUUAUGUGAAUGCUUUCAUAUGUGACUGAAGAUUUACUUCAUCCAAAAUUGAGUUUUAGCAUUUUAUGCUGAUAAAAUGCUUGAUCCAACUAUGUUGUCAAGUAAAUGAGCAGAAAAUAGAAAGGCCAUAUGAAGCCUAUAUUGAGAGGCAUAGAAAUAGGUGAUGCCCCCUUCCAUGGAAAGUGAAAAGAUUUCCAUAAACAGAAAGCUGCUAAGAAUGUGAAAAGACAGUAGGAUUAUCUUUGGAAAGAUUGAGAGGCUUGGGAGUUCUGUUUUGAAUGUAAUAAAAAA
rnacentral:lncRNA from 1 species